rnacentral:rRNA from 1 species
AGCGAACGCUGGCGGCAGGCCUAACACAUGCAAGUCGAGCGCCCAGCAAUGGGAGCGGCAGACGGGUGAGUAACGCGUGGGGAUCUGCCCAAUGGUACGGAAUAACCCAGGGAAACUUGGACUAAUACCGUAUGUGCCCUUCGGGGGAAAGAUUUAUCGCCAUUGGAUGAACCCGCGUCGGAUUAGCUAGUUGGUGAGGUAAGGGCUCACCAAGGCGACGAUCCGUAGCUGGUCUGAGAGGAUGAGCAGCCACACUGGGACUGAGACACGGCCGAGACUCCUACGGGAUGCAGCAGUGGAGAAUAUUGGACAAUGGGCGCAAGCCUGAUCCAGCCAUGCCGCGUGAGUGAUGAAGGCCUUAGGGUUGUAAAGCUCUUUCGCCGGUGAAGAUAAUGACGGUAACCGGAGAAGAAGCCCCGGCUAACUUCGUGCCAGCAGCCGCCGUAACAC